rnacentral:sRNA from 1 species
UUUAGAAGAUAUAUACAUUUCAGCCAAGACUACGACACCAUAAACAUGACUCUCACUAAAAAACCCCACUACAUUACAAUCCUUCCUAUUCAAUAUUAUGAGAUAAGAUCCAGAAUUAUGCUUCGCACACAAGAAGCUACCCUA